rnacentral:rRNA from 1 species
CACGUAGGGGGCGAGCGUUGUCCGGAUUUAUUGGGCGUAAAGAGCUCGUAGGCGGCUCAGUAAGUCAGGUGUGAAAACUCCAGGCUCAACCUGGAGACGCCACCUGAUACUGCUGUGGCUAGAGUCCGGUAGGGGAGCAUGGAAUUCCUGGUGUAGCGGUGAAAUGCGCAGAUAUCAGGAGGAACACCAGUGGCGAAGGCGGUGCUCUGGGGCCGGAACUGACGCUGAGGAGCGAAAGCGUGGGGAGCAAACAGG